UACGUAGGGCGCAAGCGUUGUCCGGAAUUAUUGGGCGUAAAGCGCGUGUAGGCGGCUUAGCAAGUCGGGCGUGAAAGCCCUCGGCUCAACCGAGGAAGUGCACCCGAAACUGCUGAGCUUGAGUGCCGGAGAGGAUGGCGGAAUUCCCCAAGUAGAGGUGAAAUUCGUAGAUAUGGGGAGGAACACCGGUGGCGAAGGCGGCCAUCUGGACGGUAACUGACGCUGAGACGCGAAAGCGUGGGGAGCAAACAG
rnacentral:rRNA from 1 species